UUACAGUUAACGCAGUGUAGCACCGCUUCAGCCCCAUUCAACUCUGGGUAGGCAAUGAGUAUCUGUGUGUGGCACCUUUAACAGUGCAUAAUAAUUUGUCCCUGCGUAUUUAGUCCUCUAUCUGCUCCAACUUUAUUAUCAAUCUCUGAUGAAAAACCAUUUCCGUUUUUGGUCUGCCUCUCCUGGGAACAAGUGUGAGAUAUAAUAAAUUUCAUCCACAAGGAUCCUUGCUUACUUACAACCUUAUAUAUGCGAGUAACAGAGGAUCCAUACUAACAAUAAAUUUAAAUGUUUGUGAGAAGUCGUAAGAAACCUGAAUAGCCCAUCAGAUAUAAUUCGGACAUAAAUAAUAAGCCG